ACCCUGUGAGUAAAUGAAAGGCAGACAAACAGACAUAUCAUACCAAGCACAGUGAACACAAACUUGUCCUUAAAUCCUCAACUGCACUUGUAAUAUAAAUCUUUUCUUCUUUUCCAUUAAGAUGAUAGAUGGUGUAAAUCCAAGCAGUAUUCCUCCUGAUUUUGUGUCCCACGUUGCCUUGAGUGUGUUGAGAGCAGAGAAAUGAUUUCCAUAGAGAGGAGGCUUUGCAUGGUCAGCUGAUCCUCCAGUGAAGUGAGAAGGUUUAUAGUCCUGUGAGUUCAACACUGCAGGACUCAGAUGUGUCAGUCAACACAGCAGAAAGCACAAGCACCAUGACUCUCAUCACCAUCCUCAUCUGGACGCUGGCCUGCUGCUGUUUCACAGGAUGCAGCGCUCAGGUGACUGUGACUCAGCCUCCAGUGGUGACAUCUGCUCCAGGAUCCACUGUCACUCUCACCUGUAAGACCAGCCAAGCUGUUUACAGACUCUCUUAUCUUGGAGAUUUUAUGUUCUGGUAUCAACAGAAAUCUGGACAGCCUCCAAAGCUCCUAAUAAAAUUGGUGAGCACACGUGAAUCAGGAACACCAGCUCGGUUUAGUGGCAGUGGAAGCAGCUCUGACUUCACUUUGACCAUCAGUGGAGUUCAGACUGAAGAUGCAGCAGUUUAUUACUGUCAGAGUUACCACAGUGGUGGUGUGUUCACACAGUGAUUUAUGGUGGUACAAAAACCUCCCUCAGUCAGACUGCAGAGACACUGAGCUGUUACAGCAGGAAGCGACUGCAGCUGCUGAAGAGGAAGAGACUCUGACACAGACCACUGAACACAGAGCUGACAGUAACCUCA